UUCAUGAUUUACAUUUGAGUUGAGUUGGCGAACUUGGUGAGUAACACGUGGGAAACCUGCCCAGAAGCGGGGGAUAACACCUGGAAACAGAUGCUAAUACCGCAUAACAACUUGGACCGCAUGGUCCGAGUUUGAAAGAUGGCUUCGGCUAUCACUUUUGGAUGGUCCCGCGGCGUAUUAGCUAGAUGGUGGGGUAACGGCUCACCAUGGCAAUGAUACGUAGCCGACCUGAGAGGGUAAUCGGCCACAUUGGGACUGAGACACGGCCCAAACUCCUACGGGAGGCAGCAGUAGGGAAUCUUCCACAAUGGACGAAAGUCUGAUGGAGCAACGCCGCGUGAGUGAAGAAGGGUUUCGGCUCGUAAAACUCUGUUGUUAAAGAAGAACAUAUCUGAGAGUAACUGUUCAGGUAUUGACGGUAUUUAACCAGAAAGCCACGGCUAACUACGUGCCAGCAGCCGCGGUAAUACGUAGGUGGCAAGCGUUGUCCGGAUUUAUUGGGCGUAAAGCGAGCGCAGGCGGUUUUUUAAGUCUGAUGUGAAAGCCUUCGGCUCAACCGAAGAAGUGCAUCGGAAACUGGGAAACUUGAGUGCAGAAGAGGACAGUGGAACUCCAUGUGUAGCGGUGAAAUGCGUAGAUAUAUGGAAGAACACCAGUGGCGAAGGCGGCUGUCUGGUCUGUAACUGACGCUGAGGCUCGAAAGUAUGGGUAGCAAACAGGAUUAGAUACCCUGGUAGUCCAUACCGUAAACGAUGAAUGCUAAGUGUUGGAGGGUUUCCGCCCUUCAGUGCUGCAGCUAACGCAUUAAGCAUUCCGCCUGGGGAGUACGGCCGCAAGGCUGAAACUCAAAGGAAUUGACGGGGGCCCGCACAAGCGGUGGAGCAUGUGGUUUAAUUCGAAGCUACGCGAAGAACCUUACCAGGUCUUGACAUACUAUGCAAAUCUAAGAGAUUAGACGUUCCCUUCGGGGACAUGGAUACAGGUGGUGCAUGGUUGUCGUCAGCUCGUGUCGUGAGAUGUUGGGUUAAGUCCCGCAACGAGCGCAACCCUUAUUAUCAGUUGCCAGCAUUAAGUUGGGCACUCUGGUGAGACUGCCGGUGACAAACCGGAGGAAGGUGGGGAUGACGUCAAAUCAUCAUGCCCCUUAUGACCUGGGCUACACACGUGCUACAAUGGAUGGUACAACGAGUUGCGAACUCGCGAGAGUAAGCUAAUCUCUUAAAGCCAUUCUCAGUUCGGAUUGUAGGCUGCAACUCGCCUACAUGAAGUCGGAAUCGCUAGUAAUCGCGGAUCAGCAUGCCGCGGUGAAUACGUUCCCGGGCCUUGUACACACCGCCCGUCACA
rnacentral:rRNA from 1 species